UGGCCAGACUCCUACGGGAGGCAGCAGUGGGGGAUAUUGCACAAUGGGGGAAACCCUGAUGCAGCGACGCCGCGUGGGCGAAGAAGUAUUUCGGUAUGUAAAGCCCUAUCAGCAGGGAAGAAGAAAUGACGGUACCUGAGUAAGAAGCACCGGCUAAAUACGUGCCAGCAGCCGCGGUAAUACGUAUGGUGCAAACGUUAUCCGGAUUUACUGGGUGUAAAGGGAGCGCAGGCGGCACGGCAAGCCUGAUGUGAAAGCCCGCAGCCCAACCGCGGGACUGCAUUGGGAACUGUUUUGCUGGAGUAUGGGAGGGGUAAGCGGAAUUCCUGGUGUAGCGGUGAAAUGCGUAGAUAUCAGGAGGAACACCGGUGGCGAAGGCGGCUUACUGGACCAUGACUGACGUUGAGGCUCGAAAGCGUGGGGAGCGAACAGGAUUAGAUACCCGAGUA
rnacentral:rRNA from 1 species